rnacentral:lncRNA from 1 species
CUGAGGGUGAUCAACGCUGCACUCAAUCAACAACUUUUUUUCUCAGUUGCAAACCACAUGCUCACUGUUGUGGGUAUUGAUGCUACUUACAACAAGCCUUUUACAACUAAUGUCAUUAUGGUUGGACCUGGACAAACAACUAAUGUAAUUCUCACUGCUAAUCAGUCCCCUCGCCAAUACUACAUGGCCGCUCGUGCCUAUGCCACAGUCAGAAAUGGGCAAUUUGAUAACACUACUACCACUGCCAUCCUUGAGUACAAAAAUCUGAACUCGGGCGCGAAUUCAAGGCCUUUAUUGCCUCAACUUCCAGCCUUUAAUGAUACAGCCACAGCCACUGCUUUCGCUAACCGAUUGAGGGGCGUUCCUAACAAUAAUAGAGUUCCCAAUCAGAUUGAUGAGAACUUGUUUUUCACUGUUGGACUAGGCUUAGUGAACUGCACCCGUGGCCCUAGAUGUCAAGGGCCUAAUAAUACGCGAUUUGCAGCUAGCAUGAACAACAUUUCAUUUGUUUUACCUAGAAGAACUUCAUUGCUCCAGGCCUAUUACCAAAAAAUUCCAGGGAUUUAUACAUUGGACUUUCCACGUGUUCCACCGGUUCAAUUUGAUUACACAGGCAAUGUUUCAAGAGGACUCUGGCAACCAAGAUUUGGAACAAAGUUGUACAAGCUCAAGUUUGGUUCUAAUGUACAAAUUGUGUUGCAAGAUACUGCUAUCUUCUCUACAGAGGACCAUCCUAUACAUCUUCACGGAUACCAUUUUUGGGUCGUUGGACAAGGUUUUGGUAACUUCAAUGCUCAAACUGAUACUGCUAACUUUAACUUGAAUGAUCCGCCUGUCAGGAACACAAUCGAUGUUCCUGUUGGUGGAUGGACAGUCAUCCGUUUCGUGGCUGAUAAUCCAGGUAAAGAACCUGAUUUCAUCAUUAAAAAUGUUCAAAUUUUCAAAUUUUAUACCUGUUUUGAUAAUUUGAUUGAUUUGUUGCAGGGGUUUGGUUGUUCCAUUGCCACAUUGAUUCUCAUUUGGCUUGGGGCCUAGCUAUGGCAUUCAUCGUCGAAAAUGGAAUAGGAGAGAAACAGACAAUGGAACCACCUCCACCAGAUCUACCACAAUGCUAAAAAUAUAUAGUGAAUGUUAGAUUCGGAAGAAUCAUAUGUUUUGCAAUUAUAGCAAAUUGUCCUUGUUAUGUUUUUGUCCUAAAAUUAAGCAGUUAUUAGUGUGUCUAUUUGAUGUUUCCCCUAAGUGUGAGCCAUCAGGAUUUAGCCUUGGCUUUAUUGAGUUUGAAAUUCAUCAGUCUAUGAUAUAUGUUUGACUUCAUAUAUUAUAUAGUAAUCACAAUCUUGGUUUCUGUCAGCAUCAUACAAAAGUGCUCAACAGUUUUAUUGUCAUCACAUAUCUUUGUUUCUUAAGAAUAUUUUUGAAGUGACAGCGACAACAUAUAACUAAACCUUAAAGCUAGAACAUGGCAUCUACCUAACCUAAGACGUUUUCCAAGACUAAUUAAUUCCCUUUGCAACAGGUCAAUUGACUGAAUUACUUAAUCUGUUGACAUUUGUUCAUAUGAUGCUGGUUGUUUAAUCUGAUUUGUUAUCGAUUUCAUCACUAAACUAGCCAAUAAGUCCUCAAUGAGAUGAUUAAAAAAAGAUGGAAUUAAUUUAACUUCUUGACCAAAAACUUGAAGCCCUUCUCCUGUAUGGUUCUUAACAACUUGUGAUCUCCAAGUCCCCUACCAUUUCAACACAACUUUGGAAAAUGGCUUGGAGUGCAGUAUAAGUUCAAAUCUAAUAGCAAGAAACUAAAAAGAUGCUAUUGUGUAUUACAAAGGAAUAUAGUAUCUCUAUUCUCAAAGACUCGAACUUUAAACGUCUGAUUAAAGCCAGAUGAUCCAACUAUAUAUCCUACCACCUUCUGAUUUCUCUUCUACUCCCUCUGUCCCAAUUUAUAUGACACAUUUUAUGUUUUGAGAGUCAAACAGUUUAAGUUUGACCGGUAAUUUGUGCGUGGAAUCUUCAAUUUUUUUGGAAUGAAAUUUAUAUAUUUGUAAACUACGUAAAAAGUACUAUGAGUCACAAUAAUUGAUAAUUCAAAAUGUUUAAAAGAUCUAUGAAAAAUUUACGGUCAAAGAUAGACUUGUUUGACUCUUGAAAUCCGAAAGGUGACAUAUAAAAUGGGACGGAGGGAAUAUUUCUUUUUCUUGUUGUAGGCUAGCAGAUAAAAUGUUUUCCCGAAUUAAUGGUAAAAAGCAAACCUAAUGUAUCCCGGUUUAUCGAGUUUCUUACCUGAACUAUCAGUUGAGUGAGUUUUCCACUUGAACUAUCACAAACUAUUGAUCAAAACACACCUGAACUAUCCAUUGUUCUCUUUUCCUACCUGAAAUAUCACCAUAUCGUUCAGAUAGGAAACUCACACACGACAUACUUUACGUGUGUUUUUGACCCUUCACUCUAUUUUCCCUAAGUAUUUGUUAGGGAAAAUAUUAUAUUUGUUAUCGUACAACUACCUCAUAUGGACAGGUAAACAUGGACGACAUGAGUAUUAGUCACUUUUAGCUGUUUUUUGAGGCAUGGUCAAGUAGGAAUUUGGUCGUACAUGAAUACUAACUAACGGAGCUUUACACAAACCGCAACAAAACAAUUAAAUAACCUAUUCAACUAGCUGUAUUUUUUUUAAAACUAAGCAGACACAGUUCUGUGAAAUACUAUUUUCGUCCCAAUUUAUGUGACACAGUUGAAUUUGAAUUUGAAUACUGACACUUACUAGCAGAAGAAAUGCUCAUUCGGAUUGUGCUGUUUCUAGUAAUUGGUUUAUCUUCUUCAUUGUUUGGAACAAACUUUCCCCUUCAUACUUAAAUUAGAUGUUUUAAUUGUCUUAUCAUGCUAAUGAAAAGGAAGAUUAACCAUCUUCACAUAUAAAAAUACAAGAAGAUUUUACCUAGAAAUGGAAGAUAAAAUUAAAUAAGAGAUACUGAAGAAACAUUCAAAAUUUCAUAGAAAAAGAAACAGAGAAACCGUUUUAAUAACUAAAUUUACUGAUUUACAAGAAAGACACAGCAAAGUUACAUUAUAAUUGCAAGUGGUUGUACCAAAUCCACCAUUUAGUUGGACUAAGUUGCCUAAAACUUUCCAAAAUCCCUGUUUGACUUUAAACUAAUCUACCUCCUAAUCCUUGUUAUUCCAUCCUUGUAACAUUAUAAAUAGACAAGUCCAUCAAAUCCUCUAAUCAUUGCAUUAACACUUCAUUAAUUCCUCUAAACAUAGCAUACAACUUUCAAGCAUUGGCUCAAACAAAUGCAAAAAAGAAGAGAAAUGGAUACUUGUAUAAGUUGUCUCAUUGUGGUUAUACUAUCACUACUCUCUACUUUUGCUAACGCAGAAUUUCAUUACCAUGAAUUUAUUGUAAGUAUACAUUCACCUUUUCUUUUUAUAACUUAAGAAAAAAAAUUCCAACAUUGUCCUGAAACACCUUUUUUUUAACAGGUUCAAGAAACUAGUGUAACUAGGCUAUGCAGAACCAAGAAUAUAAUUACAGUGAAUGGACAAUUCCCAGGGCCAACUUUGACAGUUCGAAAUGGAGAUACAUUGUUUGUUACUGUUGUUAAUAGAGCUCGUUACAACGUUACCAUCCAUUGGUAAUUACCUUAUAAGUGAAAAAUAUUUUUUUUUAUAUUAUCAGUGCAUAAAACUUAGACUGUUCUGAAUUUCUGUGCAGGCAUGGAAUUCGUCAAAUGCGAACACCAUGGGCUGAUGGGCCUGAGUAUGUUACACAAUGCCCAAUUAGACCAGGAGGAUUUUACACAUACAGAUUUACUAUUGAAAACCAAGAGGGUACAUUGUGGUGGCAUGCUCACAGCAAAUGGCUUAGAGCUACUGUUUAUGGUGCAUUAGUUAUUUUACCUAAACAGGGUUCUAAUUUUCCUUUUUCACUGCCCCAGAAAGAUUUUCCUGUUCUUCUUGGUAAUGCUUCUUUCUCUUUAUCUUUUCGGUUUAAUUUAUAUACACUGACAGUGAAAAAGCACGUUUUGUACUAUUUUUAUUUCACUCCGAAUUCGAUAAGACUAUAUGUUUUUAUUUUGUAUAGGAGAAUGGUGGAACAGAGACAUUAUUGUAGUACAAAGACAAGCACAAUUUACUGGAGCAGCUCCUAAUAAUUCUGAUGCAUAUACUAUUAAUGGUCAACCUGGUGACCUCUACAGAUGCUCUACACAAGGUCCUUACUACAUAAAAGAAAAUGAAACAUAAAAGAUUUAACUUAUAUACACUGACAGUGUAAAUAAUCCGUGAAACGACUAAUUCAGAAUUGUAAUGCAGGUACUGUGAAAUACUUGGUGAAUCCCGGAGAAUCAGUUCUCCUGAGGGUGAUCAACGCUGCACUCAAUCAACAACUUUUUUUCUCAGUUGCAAACCACAUGCUCACUGUUGUGGGUAUUGAUGCUACUUACAACAAGCCUUUUACAACUAAUGUCAUUAUGGUUGGACCUGGACAAACAACUAAUGUAAUUCUCACUGCUAAUCAGUCCCCUCGCCAAUACUACAUGGCCGCUCGUGCCUAUGCCACAGUCAGAAAUGGGCAAUUUGAUAACACUACUACCACUGCCAUCCUUGAGUACAAAAAUCUGAACUCGGGC